rnacentral:misc_RNA from 1 species
UGGUGUCUGGAGCCAGCCUGUAGU